AUACGGAGGGAGCGAGCGUUAAUCGGAAUUACUGGGCGUAAAGCGCGCGUAGGCGGCUUUGUAAGUCGGAUGUGAAAGCCCUGGGCUUAACCUGGGAAUGGCAUUCGAUACUGCAGAACUAGAGUAUGGUAGAGGGAAGUGGAAUUUCCGGUGUAGCGGUGAAAUGCGUAGAUAUCGGAAGGAACACCAGUGGCGAAGGCGACUUCCUGGGCCAAUACUGACGCUGAGGUGCGAAAGCGUGGGGAGCAAACAGGAUUAGAAACCCCAGUAGUCC
rnacentral:rRNA from 1 species